UGGUCGGCAUCGCGAGCGCGUCUUCUGCCUGUGAAGCAACGACGGAGACGGAUCUGGAGUGAGACAGGGACGAAGCAAAACGUACAGCAACAACAACGCGGGUGCAGAUGAUGUGGUCGCGGAGAGCGUUCCUCAAAAGGUAACGUGCUCGCGCGUCCAAGCGCCGCGUCUUCCACGUCUGAAGGCUGAAGAACCGCCGCCAGCCGGAGGCGGACCCGGCUGCCGACGGCGGGUCCCUCGGCCCCUCCGACGCGAAAGAAGGCGCGGUCUGGAAUAAAGGAAGUGGUGGUGCGUUCAGCGCUGUUGGAAAUGUAACAACAACCAGAAGCGUAGGAGACACAUGUUUUUAUUCUUGGGUAUAACGCCCCCAGUGUGGUUCAAAAGAAGACACACAUUUCUAGCGACAUUUAUGGUCAAGGUAUAUGUAGAACCAGCGUGAAUGAAUCAUACGAAAUAGUUUGACAGUUGAGACACUGCCAGGAAUUAGACAAGCCCUGUGUGUUACUUGUUUGUCUAUAGUGGUCAUUUUAAUGUUGGUGAUAAAUACUUUAUAAACAAUAGGGUAGCAUAUAUGUUUCACACGUGUAGUUUGCCCAAGUUGUUUUGCAACUAGUGAAUUUAAUUAUUUUAUUUUUUUCUUAGGGGGUAAUGAACACAAUGACGUUAUAUGGGUAGAAUGUUGGUCUGGGAAGAAGGUUGCCAGUUCGAACCCAGUUGAUCUCACCAGGUGUGUCUUUGAGCAAGACACUUCACACUAGCUCUCAAGCGCCCCACGUGUGGCUGCUUGCUGCUGCGCCUUGCUUUAAUUUCAAGCUAAUGAAGAAAAUACCAUGAUCUAAAGACAGAAAAGUCAUACAAACACAUACCGUCACUUACAGAUGUACGGACGUAGAGAAAUUUACAACGCAUAUGAUCAUUCAACUUAACUUCUUGAACUUUAAUUUAAGGAAGCCGAUAUUUCCCGGGUGCCGUGAAUGGGGCUUUAGUAGCGUAGCGUGAACUGAGUGAGGGCUUUAAAGCGGAAGCACACUGCCUCCUGCCGGUACAUAAACGAAACAACUUCACUCCAGUUUUUUCAAAUAAUGAAUAAUGAAUAGUUUAACGGACAUAUUAUUUAUACACUAACAUAUUGGUAUAUGAAAAAACACAUUUCCUGUGAAGUUUGUAAUGUUUCAGAUUCUGAGCAGCAGUUGUCAGCUGUAUCAAGUUAACAGUGUUUGUUUCGAUUUAGCCUGAUUUAAAGUAUCAUCUCUUCACGUUGACCCGUGGAAAGUAUCAACCCUGCAUCAUACAUACAUAAAUAUCCCCCAAAUAAUCCUCCAUAGUACCACUUCACCAAAGAUUAGUAAUUUUGGAUUUUACCAUUGUGUAACAAAAAGGUGUCUAAUGUCUCAAUUUCAAAUUUGGCAGUUUUGAAACAAGAGUAGCUGAUACAUUGGCUCUAUGCAAGAAGAUUAGAGUCUUUCAAAAGUCUAUAAACUGACAGUAAACAUCAUCUUAGGUUGCAGUCAUGCAUUCAUCUCAACCAAAGUACCAGCUUGUCCUGUGAACACAUGCGCUCCUGUCACAACAAGAGCCAGUUGCCUAAUUUUAAUUGCGCUAAAGAACACACACACCUCUAAAACACAGACAUGGAAAGAAGACAAUGAUUUAGUCACAAACUGUGCUGCUUCUCAAAUACCAUUUUAUUUACUCAAUCCAUGUUAGGAGUACUAUAAUAAUAUUGUUAUUACAUACAAGUUCCUUCUGUACUGAAAUAUGCUUUACAAAAUUAAUCUAAUCAAAUCCAGGACAACAUUAGUUAAGGUGGCCAGUACAAUGGCCUCAUGAAAAGCCAAUAUAAUGGCCCACUGUGGUCUAGAGUUAGGGUAGUAACUAAGAGAUGACAAAAGCAUGUGGAAGAAAAUGUCCAGUACAAAUAUUAUUUACAUUGAGAAACCUAAAGAAGUUAUUACCUAGUUUAUAAGACCAUAGUUGUGGAAAAGUUAGCUUCCAUAACACCAGAGCACAUUAAGCUUAUUUUCAUCCAUUCAACACAAGGUUUUACAGUAG